rnacentral:rRNA from 1 species
GCCCGCUACAGAAACUCAAAGGAAGUUCGAGGGGGCCCGCACAAGCGGAGGAGCAUGUGGUUUAAUUCGAUGAUACGCGAGGAACCUUACCUGGGCUCGAACGUAAGAUGACUGUAGGUGAAAGCUUACAUCUCUUCGGAGCAUUUUACGAGGUGCUGCAUGGUUGUCGUCAGCUCGUGCCGUGAGGUGUCGGGUUAAGUCCCAUAACGAGCGCAACCCCUACCUUUAGUUGCCAUCAGGUUAAGCUGGGGACUCUAAAGGAACUGCCUACGCAAGUAGUGAGGAAGGCGGGGAUGACGUCAAAUCAGCACGGCCCUUACGUCCAGGGCUACACACGUGCUACAAUGGCCGAUACAGAGGGCAGCUACCUGGUGACAGGAUGCAAAUCUCCAAAGUCGGUCUCAGUUCGGAUCGGAGUCUGCAACCCGACUCCGUGAAGUUGGAUUCGCUAGUAAUCGCGCAUCAGCCACGGCGCGGUGAAUACGUUCCCGGGCCUU